ensembl:snRNA U6 U6 spliceosomal RNA
GUACACUUUAGUAGCACAUAUACCCAAAUUGGAACAAUAUAGAAAUUAGCAUGGCCCCUAUGCUAGGAUGACAUGUAAAUUUUUGGAGCAGUUCAUAUGCUU